rnacentral:rRNA from 1 species
UACAGAGGUGGCAAGCGUUACUCGGAUUUAUUGGGUGUAAAGGGCAAGUAGGCGUCUUAACAAGUUAGGAGUGAAAUCCUGCAGCUUAACUGCAGAACUGCUUUUAAAACUGUUGAGAUUGAGUUUGGGAGAGGAAAGCGGAAUUCUCGGUGUAAGAGUGAAAUCUGUAGAUAUCGAGAGGAACACCAGUGGCGAAGGCGGCUUUCUGGCCCAGUACUAACGCUGAAUUGCGAAAGCUAGGGGAGCAAACAGG